AAGUUUCUAUGGCAUUUAAAGACGACAUAAAAAUGAAAAUGUCGUUGUUUCGGACAUUUGUUCUGAUGCCUUCCAUUUUCACAUUUGUUCUCGCAUUCUUUACAGUACAGGUCCUGAAAUACAAGACGAGUGCAAACAUACGCAAAAUAGAAAUAGAGGAGAUAGAGACUUUGAACAGAGUUCUUCAGUGUGAUAAAAAUAGACAGGCUGAGAGUACUGCACAGCUUGAGGUAGGAGUAAGGUUUGAGGAAAUAAAUAAAUCCCUGGAAACCUGGAAAACACUUCUCAAGGAUUGCUCAGUCAAACUUCAACAAGGAUAGGUCAUUAAACUUUUUAUUUUGAUCAAUUGAUAAAAUUCUUGUGUAUGGAUGCAACCUACAUUCAUCGAAUAUAUUUUUGUACAUUCAACCUCUAUCAAUUAGAUAUAAUGUUUGCAUACAACCUUUCUCCAAUGAAAUAUAUUCUUGUACAUGAA
rnacentral:lncRNA from 1 species